rnacentral:rRNA from 1 species
GUAGAGCACUGUUUCGGCUAGGGGGUCAUCCCGACUUACCAACCCGAUGCAAACUACGAAUACCGAAGAAUGUUAUCACGGGAGACACACGGCGGGUGCUAACGUCCGUCGUGAAGAGGGAAACAACCCAGACCGCCAGCUAAGGUCCCAAAGUCAUGGUUAAGUGGGAAACGAUGUGGGAAGGCACAGACAGCCAGGAUGUUGGCUUAGAAGCAGCCAUCAUUUAAAG